UACGGGGGGGGCAAGCGUUGUUCGGAAUUACUGGGCGUAAAGGGCUUGUAGGUGGCCAACUAAGUCAGACGUGAAAUCCCUCGGCUUAACCGGGGAACUGCGUCUGAUACUGGAUGGCUUGAGUUUGGGAGAGGGAUGCGGAAUUCCAGGUGUAGCGGUGAAAUGCGUAGAUAUCUGGAGGAACACCGGUGGCGAAGGCGGCAUCCUGGACCGACACUGACGCUGAGGAGCGAAAGCCAGGGGAGCAAACGGG
rnacentral:rRNA from 1 species